UACGAAGGGGGCUAGCGUUGUUCGGAAUUACUGGGCGUAAGGCGAACGUAGGCGGUGUUCCAUGUCAGAGGUGAAAGCCUGGGGCUCAACUCCAGAAUUGCCUUUGAAACGGGAACGCUUGAGUCCGAGAGAGGGUGGCGGAAUUCCUAGUGUAGAGGUGAAAUUCGUAGAUAUUAGGAAGAACACCAGUGGCGAAGGCGGCCACCUGGCUCGGUACUGACGCUCAGGUUCGAAAGCGUGGGGAGCAAACAGG
rnacentral:rRNA from 1 species